rnacentral:rRNA from 1 species
CCUACGGGUGGCAGCAGUGGGGAAUAUUGGACAAUGGGGGCAACCCUGAUCCAGCCAUGCCGCGUGUGUGAAGAAGGCCCUCGGGUUGUAAAGCACUUUCAGUGAGGAAGAACGCCUGGUGGUUAAUACCCAUCAGGAAAGACAUCACUCACAGAAGAAGCACCGGCUAACUCCGUGCCAGCAGCCGCGGUAAUACGGAGGGUGCGAGCGUUAAUCGGAAUUACUGGGCGUAAAGCGCGCGUAGGUGGCUUGAUAAGCCGGUUGUGAAAGCCCCGGGCUCAACCUGGGAACGGCAUCCGGAACUGUCAAGCUAGAGUGCAGGAGAGGAAGGUAGAAUUCCCGGUGUAGCGGUGAAAUGCGUAGAGGUCGGGAGGAAUACCAGUGGCGAAGGCGGCCUUCUGGACUGACACUGACACUGAGGUGCGAAAGCGUGGGUAGCAAACAGGAUUAGAUACCCUUGUAGUC